GUGACUGUAGUUCAAUGGUAGAACGCUGGUUUGUGGUACCAGUCAUGGCGGUUCGAUCCCGCUCAGCCACCCCA
rnacentral:tRNA from 1 species